rnacentral:lncRNA from 10 species
CGAGGGCCGCUACCUGUGAGGCUUCAUCUACAUAACAAGACCCCCUUUGCUAGCCAGCCAGGCGCAUGCACCACCACGCUUGGCUAAUUUUUGUAUUUUUUGUAGAGACAGGGUUUCGCCAUAUUGGCCAGGCUGGUCUCAAACUCCUGAGCUCAGGAAAUCCGCCUGCCUCAGCCUCCCAAAGUGUGUGAUUACAGGCGUAAGCCAUUGUACCUGGCUUCAACUUGCCUUUCCAUAUGUGAAAUUUUCUGAAGGUAAAAGUCUCAAACUGGGGACUGCUCUGAGCUGGCAUCUGCCUCCCUGCAGCACCCACCUGCUUCUUCCUGUCCCUCCCUCCACAGCCUGGCGGAUCCAGCCUCAGGCGGACAGCCCUCCCGGCUGGGCUGCCGGGCUCUGUGUUCCAGGACCGGCCAUUUCAACUGACCUGCCUGGCC